rnacentral:rRNA from 1 species
UACGUAGGCAGCGAGCGUUGUUCGGAUUUACUGGGCGUAAAGGGUGUGUAGGCGGUUGUUUAAGUUUGGUGUGAAAUCUCCCGGCUCAACUGGGAGGGUGCGCCGAAUACUGAAUGACUUGGAGUGCGGGAGAGGUGAGUGGAAUUCCUGGUGUAGCGGUGAAAUGCGUAGAUAUCAGGAGGAACACCGGUGGUGUAGACGGCUCACUGGACCGUAACUGACGCUGAGACACGAAAGCGUGGGGAGCAAACAGG